UACGGGGGGUGCAAGCGUUGUUCGGAAUUAUUGGGCGUAAAGCGCGUGUAGGCGGUUUGUUGAGUCUGUUGUGAAAGCCCUGGGCUCAACCCAGGAAGUGCACUGGAUACUGGCAGACUUGAAUACGGGAGAGGGUAGUGGAAUUCCUGGUGUAGGAGUGAAAUCCGUAGAUAUCAGGAGGAACACCGGUGGCGAAGGCGGCUACCUGGACCGAUAUUGACGCUGAGACGCGAAAGCGUGGGUAGCAAACAGG
rnacentral:rRNA from 1 species